GACGAACGCUGGCGGCGUGCUUAACACAUGCAAGUCGAACGGAAAGGCCCUGCUUUUGUGGGGUGCUCGAGUGGCGAACGGGUGAGUAACACGUGAGUAACGUGUCCUUGACUUUGGGAUAACUUCAGGAAGCUGGGUCUAAUACCGGCUAGGAGCUCCCGCCGCAUGGUGGGGGUUGGAAAGUUUAGGUGGUUGGGGAUGGACUGGCGGCUUAUGAGCUUGUUGGUGGGGUAGUGGAUUACCAAGGCAUUGACGGGUAGCCGACCUGGGAGGAGAAGCGGACACAUGAGACCUGAGAUACGGCACAGACUAGAACGGGAGGCAAGGGAGGAGAGUGUAACACAGGAGGAGGAGGCAAGGUGCGACAACGCCGCGUGCGGGAAGAGGGCAUGCGGGUAGUGAACCGAAUUCGCUUGUGACGAGGCGUGAAUGACGGUACUGGGUGAAGAAGCACCGGCUAACUACGUG
rnacentral:rRNA from 1 species